CCCUUAGACGUUCUGGGCCGCACGCGCGCUACACUGACCAGUGCAACAAGCAUCCGUCCUUGGCCGACAGGCUCGGGCAAUCUUUGAACGCUGGUCGUGAUGGGGAUAGACCUUUGCAAUUUUUGGUCUUCAACGAGGAAUUCCUAGUAAACGCAAGUCAUCAACUUGCAUUGAUUACGUCCCUGCCCUUUGUACACACCGCCCGUCGCACCUACCGAUUGAAUGGUCCGGUGAAGCCUCCGGAUUGGCGCGCACCUCGGUGCCGCCGAGAAGUUGGCUAAACCUUACCAUUUAGAGGAAGGUGAAGUCGUAACA
rnacentral:rRNA from 1 species